GCACUGCUGAGGAGUCCCACGAUAGGACGAAACGGCCGUCCAAUGC
rfam:Schistosoma mansoni strain Puerto Rico chromosome W, complete genome